rnacentral:lncRNA from 9 species
UCACACCUACUUGAGUGAUCCCUUUUCAUUCUUACUCUCUAUUGUCCUCUUGUUUUACUCCUCCCUCCUUUCUGCCACCCAUAAUUUACCAGGCCUUCAUUAAAACACACCCGGACUACUUCCUCAAUUAGCUCUCCUUGCCUCUUUCCAACCCUCCUGAGAGGCCUGCCCUUGGCGCCAGACUUCCCAUCUUCUCGAUGCCUCUCACUGUGUAAUGAUGUAAGGCCGAGGAACACACAAGGUUUCCAGCAGCCUUUCCAUCUUUGUAUUUCAAGUAGGCACUGCCUUCCUCAGCAAACCCAGUGGUUCCCCUCUGGCCAGCAUCCCAGUGGGUUUCAGGUCAGGUGGAACAUGCCCAACUUACUGGUCACCAUUAUAAUCUCACCAGGAUACCAUAUGGUCAGUACUGUAUUAUAGGUAAUCUAAUACUAGCUACAAGAAUUUUGUUGGAACCAGUGACUCCAAGCUCCUUCUAUAUAGCAAAUCUUCAACUAGGUUAGCUACUGCAGAACAAAACUGCUUUUGGUUUUAGCUGCUUGUUUUCCUCCUCUUUGGUCACAUGGCUUAUUAUUUCUAUUUUUAUAGUCAACACUUGGCUAAAUGGCAAGUACUUGCAGGGUGUCAUUUAUCAAAAUCUGUUUUAGUUUUAAUUAAUUAGUUAAUUUAGUCUUCUUUAUGCUAUGGAUUAAAAAAACUCUUUGUAUCAGAGAGAUGGUACUUAAUAUGUUUUAGCUUUUCGUCCAUAAUCCAGUUGAUAAGAGGUGUUUUUUUUUUUUACAUUUUAUUGAAGUAUAGUUGACUUACAGUGUUGUGAUAAUUUCUGCUGUACAACGAAGUGAGUCAGUUAUACACACAUCCAUUCUCUUUCAGAUUCUUUUUCCAUAUAGAUUAUCACAGAAUAUUAGGUAGAGUUCUCUGUUCUGUACAGCAGGUCCCCAUUCACCAAUCAUUCCACAUACUUCAGAAUAAGAGUUUUAAGAACUAUUGUAUUUUAUGUAGAUAAUUAUGUAAUUUGCUAUUUGCAUAUGUAAGGAAUCUUUGAAUAUUCAUGAGGAAUAAAGGCUUUGAAGUCAGAAAAGGUGGGAUCCAAAUCUUGGCUCCAACACAAGAUGGUUUAGAAAUAUGUAAGAAAAAAGGAUGUAUACAUGUAUGUAUGACUGGGUCACCCUGACUGUAGAAGAUUGGCAGAACACUGUAAAGCAGCUAUAAUGGAAAAAAUAAAAAUCUUUAUAAAAAGAAAAGAAAAAAAUCUCAUUAUUAAAAAAAGAAACACAUCCAGUUGUUAAUAGAGGUUACCUCUGGUGUGGGGUGGGCACCCUACUUUUACUUUACCCAUCUCUGGAUUAUUUUAACAAGCAUGUAUAGUAUUUGUAACUUGAAAAGAAGAGAAAGGAAGGAAAGGCACAGGAAAAUUACUAAUUCCAUAACCUGAAGCAAACAGUUCUCCCUCUCUGUGCCAUGGGUUACUCAUGAAUAAUAUGGAGAACGUUGAAGGAUCAUUGUGAGGAAUACAGGAAAUCAUGCUCAUAAAGCCUUUGCAUCUUAGUUGGUACAAAUUCAGCAUCCAAUAAGUGUUAGCUACUACCCCUCGGCAAAGUGCUGAAUUCAAUAUCUGGCAUGUAGUAAGUGUUCAAAAAAUGGUAAAUAGUCAAACAAACAAACAGAUAUGUAUUCUUCCUUUUUUCUUCUAGUUUUAUUGAGAUAUAACUGACAUACAGCACUGUAUACAUUAAAGGUGUGCAGCAUGAUAAUUUAACCUACAUAGAUCUUGAAAUGAUUACCACAGUAAGUUUAGUGCACAUCCAACAUCCCAUAUAGAUACAAAAUUAAAGAAGUAGAAAAAAAAUUUUUCCUUGUGAUGAGAACUCUUAGGAUUUACACUGUUAACAUCCUUCAUGUAUAACAUACAUCAGUGUUAUUUGCAUAUUGUACCUCUGAUACUUAUUUAUAACUGAAAGUUUA